rnacentral:rRNA from 1 species
CACGGGGGGAGCAAGCGUUGUUCGGAAUUACUGGGCGUAAAGCGUGCGCAGGCGGUUUGUAAGCCAGAUGUGAAAUCCCCGGGCUUAACCUGGGAAUGGCAUUUGGGACUGCAAGGCUCGAGUGCGGCAGAGGAGACUGGAAUUCCUGGUGUAGCAGUGAAAUGCGUAGAUAUCAGGAGGAACACCGAUGGCGAAGGCAGGUCUCUGGGCUGACACUGACGCUCAUGCACGAAAGCGUGGGGAGCAAACAGG